rnacentral:piRNA from 1 species
AGGAAAGUAGGCAGAACCAGGAUGCUUGU